AGCGAACGCUGGCGGCAGGCUUAACACAUGCAAGUCGAGCGGGCAUCUUCGGAUGUCAGCGGCAGACGGGUGAGUAACACGUGGGAACGUACCCUUCGGUUCGGAACAACUCUGGGAAACUGGAGCUAAUACCGGAUACGCCCUUAUGGGGAAAGGUUUACUGCCGAAGGAUCGGCCCGCGUCUGAUUAGCUAGUUGGUGGGGUAACGGCCUACCAAGGCGACGAUCAGUAGCUGGUCUGAGAGGAUGAUCAGCCACACUGGGACUGAGACACGGCACAGACUCCUACGGGAGGCAGCAGUGGGGAAUAUUGGACAAUGGGCGCAAGCCUGAUCCAGCCAUGCCGCGUGAGUGAUGAAGGCCUUAGGGUUGUAAAGCUCUUUUGUCCGGGACGAUAAUGACGGUACCGGAAGAAUAAGCCCCGGCUAACUUCGUG
rnacentral:rRNA from 1 species